rnacentral:rRNA from 1 species
AACGAACGCUGGCGGCAUGCCUAACACAUGCAAGUCGAACGAAGCCUUCGGGCUUAGUGGCGCACGGGUGCGUAACGCGUGGGAAUCUGCCCUUGGGUUCGGAAUAACAGUUAGAAAUGACUGCUAAUACCGGAUGAUGUCUUCGGACCAAAGAUUUAUCGCCCAAGGAUGAGCCCGCGUAGGAUUAGGUAGUUGGUGGGGUAAUGGCCCACCAAGCCGACGAUCCUUAGCUGGUCUGAGAGGAUGAUCAGCCACACUGGGACUGAGACACGGCCCAGACUCCUACGGGAGGCAGCAGUGGGGAAUAUUGGACAAUGGGCGAAAGCCUGAUCCAGCAAUGCCGCGUGAGUGAUGAAGGCCUUAGGGUUGCAAAGCUCUUUUACCAGGGAUGAUAAUGACAGUACCUGGAGAAUAAGCUCCGGCUAACUCCGUGCCAGCCGCCGCCGUAACAC